AGAGAGAAUUGAAGGACAGAUUUUGCCUUUUGCUCUGCGGACUAAAUUCUAUUCUCACUGGAGACCAGAGUGGGUGACCAGAGUAUCUCACGACUCACUUAUCUGCGUAACCCUCUCUUUAAUGGACUCAAGAUCUGUAAGGCGCAUCCAGUGGAAGAAGUCUGCACGUCAGCUGACGGAAAAUGUGGGUGUGCACACACGAGCACAUAUUGGGUAAACCCUCUGAGCAUGGCACAAUGUGUGCUAGGCCCUGGGAGAAGAAGAUGAAUGAAGCUCAAUGAAGCUCAUGGGAAGAUGGCCAUAGUAUUCACCCACUUCUAACUGCGACAAGAGCUAUGUGAACCAGCAGCAGCCUUGGCCUGAAAAAGGAACAUUUCCUGAUGCGGGGUAAAGCUGAGUUAUCUCUAUUCCUGCAGCAAAUGGCGCAAAGUUUCAGAAUGCCAAUCUCAUAUCAGAGAUUCUUUAAAAUUCCUGACUUUUUAAUCUGCUGCCCAGCAGAUACAUGGUUCUGAAAGAGGUAUUGCCUACAAGCUCCCUCAGUGGCCUCCUGACCGGCAACGCAUCUGCAUUUUUUUUAAGACUUUAUUUAUUCAUGAAAGACACACAGACAGAGAGAGAGAGGUAGACACACAGGUAAAGAAAGCAGCAGGCUCCAUGCAGGGAGCCAGAUGUGGGACUCGAUCCCAAGACUCCAGGAUCAUGCCCUGGGCUGAAGGCAGAUGCUCAACUGCUGAGCCACCCAGGCAUCCCCACAUUCCACAUUUCUAAUGCCCAUUACAUUCCCCUGUUGAGAAAAAAGCACAUAGCUUUCCAUUUGCACAUUUCAGUAACUUUACAGAACACACAGAAUAAUGCAUGAAACAAUUCUGUAGGUAACAGAACUUUAAAUCUCGGGGGUUUGCAUUGCAUGAAGCCUCACUCUGAGAAUGAUCUCUAACUCCGAGGCUGUUUGCAAGUAACAAAUUUUAAUUAAAAAGUAUAAAUUGCCUCAAACCCAGAGAACCUUAGCUUACGCCAUUUUGCUAAUUUAGGAGAUUAUUUCAUAUUUAAAGGAUCACAACUGGACUGUAAUCACCAUCCAUAUAUAUUGGCUUGAUUACAGAUUGUUGACAUUAAGUGCUAUUAAGAUGACCUUUGAAAUAUUACUUUCCCUUUCUAUUAGAGGCUUUUGUGUAAGGUUCUGAAAAUGAAAGGCUCAUUAGACACCAUUAAAAUAGGAUUUAUUCCAUAUGUGUAACCAAUAAUCAAGUAGAAUAUUGCUCCUUCCCCUAAUCAGCUACUUAACGUACUGAGAAGCAUACUUCAUGUUCAAAGCAGUAAUAACAGCAAACCUUUCCUGAUCAGGUUUCUGUACCAUCACUCAUGUCAACAAAACCCAAACAGAAAGGAGUCUAGGAUGCUGGACAUGCUUUUUAAAAAUAUACGUUUGAUUUCAAUUAAGGCUCAGUGUUUAUGACCCUUGGAGGUACAUACUUUCACAAUUUCAUCGGUCAAGACCAAUUAAUCCCAUUAGCGGUGGUUGCGGUGCAGUCUGCCUGCAGCUCUGGGGACGGACCGAUGAAUUAUUGCUGGCAUACAUCUUCUGCUUACAGCUCAAAGACAAUGGGAGGUGAAAAGCACUGGUGGAAAGGCCAGCAAAUAUUUCUAAUGCCGUGGAUAUAGUCAAGGUUACUUCCACCAUAAGACCAAGAGUUCAAGUCCUCUUGAACCACAGGGACACCUGCCAAAGGUGCAAGUGAGGGAGACAGCCGGGAGCUGAAGGCCGGAGCCAUCUCACACACUUGAGAGGAGGUGAGAAAUCCACCUCUAAUAUUCAGCCAAUUUUCCUGCUGGGACAGUGCUCCCCAGCUCAAGGUGUCAAUGAGUUGCCUGGGCCUCUUGUUAAAAUGCAGAUUCUGAUUCAGUAGGUGUGGAGUGAGGCCAGACGUGGUGCAUUCCUAAGAGUCUCCUUGGCUACACUUCUAAAUGUUGAGUGUUCAAAGAUUAUCCUUUGAGAAGUAAAAUUCUAGGGAUCAUUAAACUAAUCUUAGGUUGACAAUACACAGUUUAAUGUUUUUUUUUUGUUUUGUUUUGUUUUUUAAGGAAGAGAGAAAAUAAACAAAGGACUAGAGCAAGAAUCAAGAAAUAAAGAAAGGGAUUGCUUUUGGCAAACUAUGGCAGCUUCAUCCUUCAAAGUGUGGAAGAGUAAAAUCUAAUUUUAAAACGUAGGCUGGGAAGAUGACAGAAAGUGCUGUCUGGGGGGAAAAAGUAGAAGAAAAGUUGAAAAAAAAAAAGGACAGA